GUAAGGACCACCCCGUUAUGUAUGUAUGCAGUGGGUUGCUACAUAAGGGAGGGUUCUUUGCCAGUGCCAGUGGCAGUGGUCCCUGUCCCUGUCCUCGUUCUCGUUCCCGCCAUCGUCCUCCAAGGGCUGUGCGGCAAAAAGCAAAGUAAAGCGCUAUAAGAGCAAAUAUGGCUGCCAACACCCGAAUUCGACACGUAAAGUGACGCGUUAGCUGCGUUGCUAUGACAACCCAAAGGCCUCAUGCCUCCUGCCCAUCCUGCUGUUUGCGUUCCUCCAUUUGCUCUCACGGUGGUGCUU
rnacentral:lncRNA from 1 species